GGCCACGUGGCGAAUUAGAAAACGCGACGGUCUGCAAAACCGUUAUUAGUGGGUGCAACUCCCAUCGUGGCCU
rnacentral:tRNA from 2 species